rnacentral:tRNA from 2 species
GCCGACGUAGCUCAGCUGGUAGAGCACAUCACUCGUAAUGAUGGGGUCGGGAGUUCGAGUCUCCCCGUCGGCU